rnacentral:rRNA from 1 species
AUUGAACGCUGGCGGCAGGCCUAACACAUGCAAGUCGAACGAGUGGCGGACGGGUGAGUAAUGGCUGGGAAACUGCCUGAUGGAGGGGGAUAACUACUGGAAACGGUAGAUAAUACCGCAUACCAUCAGAUGUGCCCAGAUGGGAUUAGCUUGUUGGUGGGGUAAAGGCUCACCAAGGCGACGCUCCCUAGCUGGUCUGAGAGGAUGACCAGCAACAUUGGAACUGAGAAACGGUCCAGACUCCUCCGGUGGGCAGAAGAGGGGAAUAUUGCACAAGGGGCGCAAGCCGGAUGCAGCCAUGCCGCGUGUAUGAAGAAGGCUUUCGGGUUGUAAAGUACUUUCAGCGGGGAGGCGUUACCCGCAGAAGAAGCACCGGCUAACUCCGUGCCAGCCGCCGCGGUAAUUC